UAUAGGUUAUUACAGAAUAUUGAAUAUUGAAUAGAGUUCCCUGUGCUAUACAGUUGGUCCUUGUUGAUUACCUAUUUUAUAUAUAGUAGUGUGUAUAUGUUAUUCCCAAACUCCUAAUUUAUCCCUCUUCCCCCACCAUGUUUCCCCUUUGGUAAGCACAAGUUUGUUUUCAAAGUCUAUGUGUCUGUUUCUGUUUUGUAAAUAAGUUCAUUUGUAUCAUUUUUCUUUAGAUUCCACAUAUAAGUGAUAUCAUAUUGAUAUUUGUCUUUCUCUGUCUGACUUACUUCACUUAGUAUGAUAAUCUCUAGGUCCAUCCAUGUUGCUGCAAAUGGCAUUAUUUCAUUCUUUCCUAUGGCUGAGUGACAUUCCAUCACCCUUUAGAGCCAGUUUCUUCCUCUAGCUCCCGAAGAGCAGCUGCUUCUGGGCUCUCAUUACCAUCUGCGACACCUGCAGAGAAUUCUAGGCAUUAGCCUCCCAUUGGUGGUCGGAACUGCUUCCUUCGCCAGGACGAUGCACUUAUAAUGAAGACUUCUUUGCAGCUCAGAGAAAACUGCCACUGUCCUUUCCUGGUUGUCUGCUUCACGGUCUCCCAAGUGCCUAUUUUACCAGUAGGAUCCAUAGCCCUCCAUGGGCUUCUUGGAAAAGGAGAAGGAAUCUGAAAGCAGCAAGAGGAGGGGUUUUCCUGACUUCCUGGACCCUGGUGUACACGGAGCCCACACUUGAGAAGAGCAGAAGUUUCAGAUAAGAAAGGAAAACUGAGGCACCAGGAGGUCAACGCCUGCUCAGGGUCACAACUGCGUCACUCCGGCGGGACUUUCAACCCGCAUAAGCUGUCUGCUUCGCAGGAUCCCAGCCACCUCCCGGCCGUCACUACCGCACUAAAAUGCUGUGUCACGCUGGAGCAGCAGACUCCCCGUUAAAGUGAAAAAAACAGGAAGGAGGGAAGAGAAGAGAACCUUCGCGAUAA